UGGGCCAGGGAGCAGCUGGUGGCCACACCCCGUUUCCUGGCCCAC
rnacentral:miRNA from 1 species